rnacentral:lncRNA from 1 species
AUGGAAUACAUCUUUCUAAUUUCGUGGAAGGGCAAUGGCAUGACUGUGCAAAGCAUGCAGCACAGUGGUACAUAUGGUGAUCAUUUGCCUCUACAAAGAACAUCAACCAUAUUCAAUGUACAGCUUAUGAUUGUGUCAACGCUUGGAGUUGAUGCAACAGCAAUACUAUCCCCACAUGGUCACUACGAUGAAAGUCUGCCAUUGCUGAUUCUAGGCCAUUUUGCUGAAGGUUGUGGGGACCAUUAUGUUAGUCUUGAUGGACCAGUAAGACCAUUCAUUCAAAGAAUUCAGAGAGCAGAGAAGCAGAGGGGGCUUCUUUAUAAUACUGGCUCUGAUGCUGUCCCUGACACUGACCACCAUUCAAACCCUGACUCUGACCAUCACUCUGACCCCAACAAUUACCCUCCUGGAAAUUCCAAUGAUGUACUACAUGGUGACUCAUGUGAUGUUCCUUAUGGUGAUCCCAAUGAUGUCCUACAUGGUGACUCAUGUGAUGAUCCUUAUGGUGAUCCCAGUGAUGUCCUACAUGGUGACUCAUGUGAUGAUCCUUAUGGUGAUCCCAAUGAUGUCCUACAUGGUGACUCAUGUGAUGUUCCUUAUGGUGAUCCCAAUGAUGUCCUACAUGGUGACCUCCACACUGUCCGUUACACUGACCCUGAUACUGUUCCUUCUGCAUGUCCUACAGUGCCAAAACAUAUCUUCCAUGCUGACCCUGACUUCAUUGCUAGCCCUAAUUUGCCUUUGAUUGUACUGUCAACCAUUAUCCAGUGUUGCCUGUUGAUGGAUAUGACAAUGCUGGGCACCUUCAACAGAGUUUCCAACUUGUUCAGAGAGCUAACCCUGCCAUUCCUACCAAAAACAAUUAUACGUGAUUCUUUGGUGGAAUGUUUAAAUAUUGUGACGGAUGAAGACUGCAGCAUUAGUAUUUGUAGGUUAUAUAAAGCAGCUGGACGUAAUAGUGGCCUUGCAUCCAACAUCAGGCAGCUCUUCAGCCAAAAUGCCAGGUGGAUUACAGCAUGGAUCGUGAUUCGACAUAUAUCCUUUGGAUGGUUCCAAAUUAAAGACAUUCAUUGGAAGAAAUAA